rnacentral:tRNA from 1 species
UCCCUGGUGGCCUAGUGGUUACAAUUCAGUGCUCUCACCACUGCUGCCUGGGUUCGAUUCCCAGUCAGGGAA